GGAGGGUUGGCCGAGUGGUCUAAGGCGACGGUUUGCUAAACCGUUGAGGCCUAAAAAGCCUCGCACAGGUUCAAAUCCUGUACCCUCCGCUA
rnacentral:tRNA from 1 species